UACGGAGGGUGCGAGCGUUGUCCGGAAUCACUGGGCGUAAAGGGCGCGUAGGCGGCCAGCACAAGUCAGUUUGUGAAAUCUCCGAGCUUAACUCGGAAAGGUCAACUGAUACUGUGCGGCUAGAGUGCAGAAGGGGCAACUGGAAUUUCUCGGUGUAGCGGUGAAAUGCGUAGGAUAUCGAGAGGAACACCUGCGGCGAAGGCGGGUUUUGCUGGGCUGACACUGACGCUGAGGCGCGAAAGCUAGGGGAGCGAACGGG
rnacentral:rRNA from 1 species